rnacentral:rRNA from 1 species
AUGAGUCCGCAUGUUCACAUGAUUAAAGGUAUUCCGGUAGACGAUGGGGAUGCGUUCCAUUAGAUAGUAGGCGGGGUAACGGCCCACCUAGUCUUCGAUGGAUAGGGGUUCUGAGAGGAAGGUCCCCCACAUUGGAACUGAGACACGGUCCAAACUCCUACGGGAGGCAGCAGUGAGGAAUAUUGGUCAAUGGGCGAGAGCCUGAACCAGCCAAGUAGCGUGAAGGAUGACUGCCCUAUGGGUUGUAAACUUCUUUUAUAAAGGAAUAAAGUCGGGUAUGCAUACCCGUUUGCAUGUACUUUAUGAAUAAGGAUCGGCUAACUCCGUGCCAGCAGCCGCGGUAAUACGGAGGAUCCGAGCGUUAUCCGGAUUUAUUGGGUUUAAAGGGAGCGUAGAUGGAUGUUUAAGUCAGUUGUGAAAGUUUGCGGCUCAACCGUAAAAUUGCAGUUGAUACUGGAUAUCUUGAGUGCAGUUGAGGCAGGCGGAAUUCGUGGUGUAGCGGUGAAAUGCUUAGAUAUCACGAAGAACUCCGAUUGCGAAGGCAGCCUGCUAAGCUGCAACUGACAUUGAGGCUCGAAAGUGUGGGUAUCAAACAGGAUUAGAUACCCUGGUAGUCCACACGGUAAACGAUGAAUACUCGCUGUUUGCGAUAUACAGCAAGCGGCCAAGCGAAAGCGUUAAGUAUUCCACCUGGGGAGUAC